UUUGAAAACUACAAAAAUGAUUAUUUUGGGCCCCUUUUUGGCCCGUAAUUCCUAUACUAUUGGGACCAUAACCCCCAAAAUCAAUCCCAACCUUCCUUUAGUAAUAUUGAACCUUCUUGUAAAAAUUUAUAGAGAUCCAUAAACUUAAACACAAGUUAUUGUCUGUAAACUAGAAAAAUGCUUCUUUUUGGCCCUUUUUUUGCCCCUUAUUCCUACAUAUUUGGGAACAUUAACCCCAAACUGAAUCCCAGCCUUCCCUGUGUUAUAUGGAAACUUGUGGUACAAUGUCAGAGAGAUCCAUACAGUUACACACAAGUUAUUGUCUUGAAACUAGAAAAAUGCUUGUUUUCGGCCCCUUUUUGGCCCUUAAUUCCUAGACUGUUUGCCCAAUGACCCCUUUAAAAUAA
rnacentral:lncRNA from 1 species